UACGUAGGGUGCGAGCGUUGUCCGGAAUUAUUGGGCGUAAAGAGCUUGUAGGCGGUUUGUCGCGUCUGCUGUGAAAAUCCGGGGCUCAACCCCGGACUUGCAGUGGGUACGGGCACACUAGAGUGUGGUAGGGGAGACUGGAAUUCCUGGUGGUAGCGGUGAAAUGCGCAGAUAUCAGGAGGAACACCGAUGGCGAAGGCAGGUCUCUGGGCCACUACUGACGCUGAGAAGCGAAAGCGUGGGGAGCGAACAGG
rnacentral:rRNA from 1 species